rnacentral:rRNA from 1 species
UACGGAGGGUGCAAGCGUUGUUCGGAAUUACUGGGCGUAAAGCGCGUGUAGGCGGCUAUUUAAGUCUGGUGUGAAAGCCCGAGGCUCACCCUCGGAAGCGCACUGGAUACUGGAUGGCUCGAGUACCGGAGAGGAGGGUGGAAUUCCUGGUGUAGCGGUGAAAUGCGUAGAUAUCAGGAAGAACACCGGUGGCGAAGGCGGCCCUCUGGACGGAUACUGACGCUGAGACGCGAAAGCGUGGGGAGCAAACAGG